ensembl:lncRNA
CUUUGGUGGUUGGAACAAUAGUUCUACCCGGAUGAUAACGUGGAGCUAUAUAUUGCAUAUAUUACAGUAUAUACUAUCAGUAAUAGGUGGCAUGCAUGAUACAAGGUAGUGGUCAGUAACAUCAUCACUUUGAGGUAAUAUAUCUAUAUCAUUAAGAUCAAUUCCAUGUGAUAUAAUUAAAUCUAGUGUAUGAUUAAAAUGAUGAGUGGGUCUGGUUACGUUUUGCUUGACUCCAAAAGAGUGUACUAAGUCUGUAAACGCAAGUGGUAACGCAACUUUUGUAUUAUUAACAUGAAUGUUAAAGUCUUCAACAAUUAGUACUUUAUCAACAUUAACCAAUAGAUCUGAGAGGAAAUCUGCAAAUUCUCUAAGGAAAUCUGUAUAUGGCCCUGGCGUUCUAAUUUAAAAAACUCUAGCUUCAGUUUCAGUAUGUGUUUUAUUGUAAAUGGUGUGAUUAUCAGUGAUUUUUUGUGUUUUAGAUCAUGUUCCUCUCAGACUGAGUGGAGGGGAUGUCCGGUGCUCUGGGAGGCUGGAGGUGUAUCAUAACGCUGUGUGGGGCUCAGUCUGUGAUGAUCAGUGGGACAUCAGCAAUGCUCAGGUGGUCUGCAGGCAGCUGGGUUGUGGAGCAGCACUGAGGGCUGAUGGGAAUUCAGUCUUUGGUGCUGGUGAAGGUGUUGUGUGGAUGAACAGAGUCGAGUGCAGAGGGAAUGAGAUUCACCUGUGGGACUGUCCUCUCUCCCUGAAAAACCACACUGACUGCUCCCACAAAGAGCACGCUGGACUCACCUGUGCAGGUCAUAGCAAACACUGAGAAGUAUUAUUUAUUUUUAGACCAUUUUAGAGCAUAUAAUAUCAGUAUAUACCGAACAGUCAUGAUCUUGAAUGUGUUUGUGUCUAUUUUUACAGAUGUGUCAGUGUCCUCUACUCCUGCCACAACAGCAUCAGUUUCUCCUCCAGUGCGCUCAACAUCAGUCUCUCCUCCACAAACUCCUCCAGCAGUGUCUCUCUCCGUCCCCCCAGAGCUUGUGAUUGUUCUGGGAGUUGUAUUCUUACUGCUUUUAGUGCCACUGCUUAUACUGAUUCAGCAGAACAGAGUGAUGAGGAGAGCUCUCUCUAAGAGGAGACACAGGACGAAGACUGAGGCCGUUUAUGAGGAGAUUCAACACAGACACGAUCACUUCAUUCAGAGGGGUGAGUAAGUGUCAUAAUGUCUGAUUUGUGGAGAUCAACAGACUCAUCACUUUAUUCGGAGGGAUGACUGCAAUAAAUCAUACUGAUUAAUUUGUGGGACUUUGAGU